rnacentral:rRNA from 1 species
GACGAACGCUGGCGGCGUGCCCAACACAUGCAAGUCGAGCGAAGUGAGUACUACGGUACGAACUUAGCGGCGGACGGGUGAGUAACGCGUGGACAAUCUACCCUGUAGACUGGGAUAACACCUCGAAAGGGGUGCUAAUACCGGAUAAUGUCGAGAAGCGGCAUCGCUUUUCGAAGAAAGGAGAGAAUCCGUUAUAGGAGGAGUCCGCGUCCCAUUAGCUAGUUGGUGAGGGUAACGACCCACCAAGGCGACGAUGGGGAGCCGGCCUGAGAGGGUGAACGGCCAAACUGGAACUGAGACACGGUCCAGACUCCUACGGGAGGCAGCGGUGGGGAAUAUUGUGCAAUGGGGGAAACCCUGACACAGCAACGCCGCGUGAGCGGAGAAGGCCUUCGGGUUGUAAAGCUCAAUAGUAUGGGAAGAUAAUGACGGUACCAUACGAAAGCCCCGGCUAACUACGUGCCAGCCGCCGCGGUAAAAC